rnacentral:rRNA from 1 species
AUGGGUUUUGUUAAGCUGAAUGUUGAUGCUUCUUUUGAUCAUGAUUUGCUUAGGGGCACAGCGGGGGCUGUUCUCGGGGAUGAUAAAGGAAGGUUCAUUGUUGGCGGCAAUUGGAAGAUUGAUUGGUGUGAUGAUGUUUUGACAGCAGAAGUGUUGGCCCUAAGAUUUGGCUUAUUACUUGCACAGAAGGCGGAAUGCAAUCGUCUUGUUAUUAACUCCGACAAUAUGGAAGUGAUUGACACAAUGAAGAAUGAAGGACAUUCCGUAGGAGCGGCGACGGCAGUGUUCGAUGAUUGUUUUUUUUUAGCGUGUGAUUUCUCUCUUACUAGUUUUGAACAUUGUAAUAGGAAAGCAAAUAAAGUUGCUCACGAACUUGUUGGGUUAGCGAAAUUUUCUGUGACAAGGGGUUGGUUUUAGGAGCCUAUGUUUGAAAUUGUAUCUUUUCUUAUUGACGAUGUAACAAUUAUUUUCAAUUAA